UGUUACAUCGUUCUAAUAAUAAAAGUAACAGUAAAAGUAAUUGGCAUAUAUAAGAAAUGAUGAGAACAGAGCGAAGAGUAAUAUCGUCACACACGUAUACACGCGAGUCAGCGAGCGAGCGAAUGAGCGAGCGCUCGCGCGCGCGCGCUGCUCACAUGCACAACAAGCGACGCAACAGCUGUUUCGUCGGCGACGUAUGUAUGUAAGAUCGCGCGACUCCACCUCGUGGUACGCGACGCGUGUCGCGUGCCCCAUCUCGUGUACGGCCCUGACGGCUCGCGCGCGUCAUUUGUCCUCGUCGUCGUCGUCCUCCCCACUCCCCCCGCUCUCCCCACUACUCAGCCCGUCGCGACCGCCGUCACGACCGCCGCCGUCUUCGGCCGAGCGAGAGCGUCGCGUGGCGUUCUCCCCACCCCACCGGUACUCCCCUCUUUCCACCUCGUACCGUAGCCGCCUGCGCCACUCACAACUACCCACUACUACCAUUAUCGUCGACGCGCAUCUUCCCCUCCUCCCAUCCCCCACUUCUGUCCCACCUCAAUCAUUCUCUCUCUAUCUCUUUCUUUCUCUCUUUCUCUCUCAGUCCCUUUCGUCAUACACACGACACGUACGUACGCACGUACGUACAUAUAUAUAUAUAUAUAUAUACGGAGCCAAAAGCAAAAGAAAACCGUGUUCUCGCUUCUCCCCCUUUACGCCGCUUUCGCGGUCGAGUUUAUCGUCGGGUUUACCGUUUACGCUCUCGUAUCGUCGCGGAGGCGCGUCAUUUGUUCGAAUAAUCCUUAUAUCUGCGAAGUGAUUCUUCCACUUCCUUUCCGAAACUAUGGCGAAAACAUAACUCAUAGAAUGUUGACAUAUUUUAACGUCCAUAAAUAAUUUUCAAGGAUAUAUGGAGAAUUACGUUCCUUUGGAUUGAAAAAUCGACCGCGGCGCCAGUCGACUCUCCUCCGCUGAUGACGUCAUACGGAAAGCUGAUUUUUGCUACGGAUAGUAGCAUGUAU